GCUCUAAACACUAGGUUCCAAAGUAAUGCUCUCUCAAGGUUUUUUUUCCUGGAUCCAUGACUCUUGCAUUUUUGCCUGAAUAUUGGCCCAGCUUCUACAGAGGAAAAGUGUCCACUGUGCCCAAGACACAACAGACUUUCUACAAAAACUUAAAAACAUAAACCACCUUCCCAGUAUCACCCUCCUAGCCACCAUGGAUGUUACCAACUCAUCAACAGCCCACACCAGGAUGGCAUCCAAGCUUGCCUUACAUAUCUACAGGAACAAGAUUACAACUCAGAAUACAGACCCAAAGAUAUUACUGACCUUGUAUACUCCAUCCUCACACACAACAAUUUCACUUUUAAUAACCAACACUUCCUCGAUGUGGAUAGACGAUGGAAACAGCUAUGGGCACCAAAAUGACCCCACAGUAUGCCAACCUUUUUAUGAGCCACCUGGAAGAAGACUUCCUCAAGAACUGCACCAUCAAAACCUUGUUAUACUUAAGAUAUAUCAAUGGCAUUUUCACCAUUGGGCUGAAAACCUACAAUCUUUGAUUGAGUUCCAUCAGAAAUUCAGCAAUCACCAUCCCUCCAUCCAACUUUCUCUAGAAUACUCCAGCACCAACAUCUCCUUUUUAGGCACAAUGACCAGUAUCCAGAAUGAUAAAAUACAGACCACGUUAUACAAGAAACCCACAGACCAACAUACAUAUCUGCACAGAACCAGCAAUCAACCUAAACACACCAAAAAAUCUGUGAUAUACAGCCAAGCCCUCAGAUACCACCGAAUUUGCACUGAAGAGAACACCUGGGAUUACCACCUCACCAAUCUUAAAAAGGCUUGCACCCAACAAGGACACUCCUCCAGAGAGAUGGAUCAUACAUUUGAAAGAGCCAUCCGGAUACCACGUGAACAACUGCUGCAGUACAGAAGAAAACCCCCCACAAAUCACACACCGCUGGUUAUGACAUAUCACCCCUCCCUUGAACCCAUACAGAAAAUUCUCAAACAAUUGCAACCCAUACUAGAAAGAGACCCUACUCUAAAAAAGAUCUUCCCAGAGCCAUCCAUCCUAGCCUUCAAAGAAGCACUGAACCUCGCUAACCUCAUCACCAGAAGCAAACUUCCUCAGGCCCAGAACACACCAAAUGGAUCCAAACCAUGCCAUGACAAGAAAUACAAAACCUGCCAACACAUCUCCACGCCACCCCACGAUUACUACACCCCACACAGAGCCAUCCUCAUUCCCAGAUCUUAC
rnacentral:lncRNA from 1 species